GGAAUUUGUGGUUCUCUCUUCCUCAUCAGAGCAUGGAGACACAGAUUUUUCCGAUGGUUUGAUCACUUGAAAGAUCAACUUUAUGUUGCCUUCACCCUCUGGUUCAAAAGAUUCGGUCGAAUAUCAAAAACAGAUCUCCCUUGAGUGAAAUAGCAGCUAUGCCUACUCUGAUCGUUCCUCUGAUUCAAAUACUGAGUUCUGCCUCAAGGAAUAAGGAGCUUUGCUGCUGUUUGGCAUGGUCAAGGACUCCGAUAGCGUAGCCUACUGAAUGCCCUUUUGUUAUCUUAGAUUUAGUGAAUUGUGAGAAGAGAACAUUUUGUAAUAAUAGUUACUUGUGUGUCUGGGUGUCUCAUGUUGUUAAGGAACCUUUGAUGAAUAUUCUUGAAUGUGAUAUAUGAUUGUUACUCUAAAGUUCGAUCAUGAGUUAUGAUUUAGAAUCAAAUAAAAAGAUAUUAUGCGUCUGUAAUUGAGGUUUCAGGUGUAAGUGUAACAAUCAAAACGAAAAGGCAUGUGAGUGUUGUAAUCUGUAAGAUAAGAUUUAUAUGUAUGUUAACAUGUUGGAUAUUAAUUUGUAACUUGCUACAGUGAGUUGCUAUUAAUUUGUUGAAGAUGAGAGGAUCUUAUAACAUUC